GGCGAAAGUGGCCGACAUCUGUUGGCCAUGGUGGUUUCAAACUUCUGACCUCAAGUGACCUAUGUGCCUUGGUCUUCCAACGUGCUGGGAUUACAGGCCUGAGCCACCACACCUGGCCCCAUCCUCUUAACAUAAACACUUGAAUGUCAAUUAAGGCUUGAACUCAAUGUUAAGUCAACACAAACUCAAGUCAAUGCUGAAUUGACUCCAAUGUCAAUUAAUGCUUGAUGGUUUGCUAUACUCACUGCAUUGGGAACAGUUAUCUCAAAAAUGAAUUUUCUCAUGUUCUGCAAGGAGUGACCUCGGACUGAAGACCUUGCCACACUGAUGACAUUUGCAAGAUUUCUGUCCAGUAUGGAUUCUCUGAUGUCCAACGAGGUGUGAAUGUGAAGUAAAGGCUUUGCCACAAUCAUCACACUUGUGAGGUUUCUCUCCUGUAUGAAUUCUCCUGUUUUGCAUAGGAUGAAGCUUGACUGAAGACCUUGCCUCAAUCAUGACAUUUGUAAGGUUUCUCUCCAGUAUGAGGUUGCCAAUGAACUGCAAUGUAUGAACAAUGUCUGAAAAACAUGCCACAUUUAUUACACUCAGAAGAUUUCUCUUCAUCAUGGAUUCUCCAAUGAUUUGCAAUUGUUGUAGUGUUACUGAAGACUUUGUGACAAUCAUUAUAUUAAUCAAAUUUCCCUAUACCAUGAAUUGCCUGAUGGUGAAUAAGUGUUGACCGGUCACUAAAGGCUUUGCCACACUCAUUACACUUGUAAGGUUUCUCUCCAGUAUGAAUUAUCCUAUGUCUUUUAAGGUGUGAUUUGCGACUGAAAACUUUGUCACAUGCUUCACAUUUGUAAGGUUUCUCUCCAGUAUGAAUUCUAUGAUGACGUGAAAGGUGUGAUUGUUCAUUAAAAGCCUUUCCACAUUCAUUACACUUGUAAGGUUUCUCUGCAGUGUGAAUUCUAAUAUGUCUUGCCAGGUAUGAAUUACGCACGAAAGCCUUGUCACAAACCGUACAUUUGUAAGAUUUCUCUCCAGUAUGAAGUCUACGAUGGUAUACAAGGGAUGACCAGUGACGGAAGGUAUUGCCACAGUCGUUACACUUGUAAGGUUUCUCACCACUAUGAAGUCUACGAUGGCAUAGAAGGGUUGCCUUCUGACUGAACGUCUUGCUGCACUCACUACACUUGUAAGGUUUUUCACCACUAUGAAGUCUACGAUGGCAUAGAAGGGAUGACCUGCGGCUGAAGGUCUUGCGACACUCAUUACACUUGUAAGUUUUCUCUCC
rnacentral:lncRNA from 10 species